GAUGGGGGUUGUCCUUCUGUAUAUAUGCAGCAGUGUCGGACCUGGUUAGUACUUGGAUAGGAGACUGCUUGGGAAUACCGGGUGCUGCCAGGA
rnacentral:rRNA from 1 species